AGAGAAGGGUGUCCCAGAUGUAGGCAAAGCGUCCUCCAUGUGUUCCUGGAGGACCGUCCCAAGUCCUUCUCCAUUCUCCCAACCUCUUGGGCCUGGCAGAAAGGUGUUAAAUGGUUUGCAGAAUUGUUGGGAAGGCUAAGCUUCCAGGAGCAGCUCCCAAAGUCUCCACACACAACUGGACCACCAGGGAACCUGCUCCCUCCACCAGGACAGGACUUGGAAACCUGCCACCGCAAUUACCAGCACCAGAAGGAUCUUGUCUCUGCUAAGUCUCUGUCGACAUAGUGAAUACCCUGUGCCCUGCCUCUCUCUCCCUGACUCAGGUCCCAUUCCAGGUCUUGCCCAAGUCUUUCUGAUUGGUGGGACUUAAAUCACACCCAAAAUUCCAGCUGCAGGAGAGCUCUGAGAUUUCAUCUUUCCAACCUCUGUGUGCUACGUGGGGGUUGGAGCACUUGCUGACAAGCCUUGCAACCACCAUUGACAGGAUGUCCUCCACCUUUUCAAUCUGAUUUGCUCUUUGCCAUGCAGACCUGUGGAUGAAGAGCCAGAGUCCUCCAAGGUGAAGCUGGACUGAAUAUUUCUGUCCAUAAGACUAUUAGAAUCCCCCAAAGUGGGAUACCAGUGAGGACCUCACCAGCAGCUGCUGU
rnacentral:lncRNA from 10 species